rnacentral:lncRNA from 1 species
GAGCCUUUGGCACUACUAAUUUGACAGUAAUCACAUAUGAAUACAGUCAUCUUCCUGUUACAUGUGAAGUAUUUCAGAUUUAUGCCAGUGUCAAUAUGGGCAUUUCAGCUUGCAACCUUAUUUCAUAUUCCCUUUGUCCACUGCUAGUUGGUGAAAGAGACUGCUAAUGUAUGUGAAGAAGAAAAUUAACAUAAUGAGGAAAAAAUAUGAAAAAGCAACUGUAGCCCCAUGAAUAAUCCUGAAACUAUAUAUAAAUGUACAUAUUUGGGCAAAAAGCUGCAAUCAAGAAAACAAUCCAAUUACGUCUUUAUUUGUGAAUUAUGCUUCAAACGUUGAUUUCUUGUAUGGCUGCUUCAGGAGUCCCUGAGCAAGCAGCAGGACAGCAGCCUGGUCCCUCCCGCAGCCUGGUGCGGACAGCACGCGCCGAGAAGCAGCAUCUCGUCUCCUGCGAAAGAGUUCUUGGACCUUCACCAGAUGUGAUAAAGUUUGCACAUGAUGUGGUUUGAAGAAAUCCUUACCGGAGUCAUUCCGAUCCCCGUAAGAGAGGCGCAGGUCUGGGUAUAGCAGGAAGCUGUUUGUAUUUUCUGUACAAACAGACACACCGCACCCGCUGGGGAGAAGCUGUGAGAUUGCUUUGAGGGAGCCCUCAGCUUGCGGGCUUUUUCUCUCCAAAACAGCAAUUGUAUUACCAUUAAUAAACUCUCCUUGCAAAUCUAGGCUGAAAUAAGG